UUAGUAUCUGAUCUGUAACUUUUUAUGAUUUUAUUAUAUUAAUUAUCUAAGUUUAUAUUUAAUAUUUAAACUGUUCAUUAAUAUAAUUUUAAACUUUUUGGGGCCAAAUAUUCAAUUUUUAAAAUUUAGAUAACUUCCAUAGUUAGUGAAUAUUUAUGUAACUUUUAUGCGUAUAUUCUUUUCCUUUUUAGGACGAAUAAACGAAUGCGAGGGCAAGAAGGUGUGAGAAUCGUGCUGGGCGCUUAUGCAUCACGUGGAUAAGCAUAGGGAUAGAACGCGAGAAAUGUGUCCAUAGUUAGUGAUCGGUGAUGAUUUGUCGUAUGUUAAAAUAAAAAAAAAUAGGUAAGUUUUCCAUCCAAAGAAAUGGUGUUUUCACCUAUUGUUCCUAGCGCAAGUAGUAAAGGACUUGGUAGUUGGUACCUGAGGUUUCAAAUUCGAAUCCUAGUUGAUUCACAUUUCUAGCUAAGUUUAUUUCUAAAUGAAAUAAACAAAACGUGUAGCAUGCUACCUAUCUCUCUCAAAAAAAGAAAAAGAAGAAAUGAUGUUUUCAAUAGUGAUUCAUUCAUCCUUAUUAACACUUUUUGAUGGUAAAGAGCUUUUUUUUUUGAGAGAGAUAGGUAGCACGCUACCGUUUCGUUUAUUUUAUUUAGAAAUAAACUUAGCUAGAAAUGUGAAUCAACUAGAAUUCAAACUUGAUAUCUCGGUACUAACCACCAAGCCUUUUGCCACUUGCUCUAGGGACAGUAGGUUAAAAAGCUUUAUUAAUGUUAGUAGAAACAUUGUUUUUAUUCUCUAUUUUUUUGGUCCAAAGAAAGACAAACUAAAAUCUAAAAAUACUUCUCUCUUCCUUUUAACUCUCAAUCUCUUUAUUUCAUUUUCUUGCAAAUCAACACAUCCUGUGAGCUAUUUUGAUUUUGUGUCAAAUCAAGUAUCCAUGUUUUAAAUUCAAAAUCUAGCUGUUUUAUAUUUUUUGUUUAUUUCUCGAGAAAUGAGCGAUAGGUUGAUUCCUUUAUCUUCACAUAAUUCUUAACUUCUAUGUCCUUAGUUAUGCCAAACCAAAUGUUAGCAUGCAAGGUGCGCUAGCAAUAGAAAGGCGUGUUGAGAAUAACAAAGCAUUAUUGGCAUUUUUUUUUCUAUUUACAAUAGAAAUAAAAAAAAACCUCAUAGAAUUGCAUCAAAAUGAAAAGAGAGACCACACAAUAUAAACCCUAAAGGCAAAUAAAUUAAGGGCCACUUUGCACUAUAGCAAAGUUUUCCUUAGAGUGUAGAUAAUGAGACUAAAAUUUGAAAAGUAAAAAUUAUAUUAUUAAAAAAAUUACACAAAAUCACAGAUGCCAUUAAAUAAAAUCAUUCGAAGUAAAGUAAUAGUGAAAACGCAUAAAACUUAUCUGAACUAUCAACCAUUUUGAAUCAUCUAUCUGAUCUUUAAAAUUUUGAUAUUAUCAUUCAACCUUUCAAAUUAUUUAAUUUGUACAAACUAAUAACACUUCGACCUAAAAAUUGAAGCUAAUUAUUUAUUUUAAUAAAUUUAUAGUUAUGAAAAUUAUAUAAAAUAUAUAUAUACUUAUUAAUUAUACAAAAUACACUAAAUAACUGAUUCAAAUUAAAUAAAUUAAAUUUUGAGCAAUCAAAUAGCUAAUUUAAAAUAAUUUUAUCUGUACUUGUUACCAAAUAUCGGCAUCAUGCGCUUUUUUUUUGAUUGACAGGGUGGAGAUUCUGAUGACGUGGCAAUAAGUAACGACCAAUAAGAUUUAGCCAUCGCGCUACGCUACGCCAACUUUUAGGAUGCCCCACAUCUCAUAAUAGAAAUCGACCGUACGCACGUCCACGUGGCGAGCCCACCUGUGGAAACUGUUGUAGUGGAAUUAUGCGCACGUGGCGGAGCCAAGGGGUCCAGAUCUACUGCGUGGAUACCAUCUCCCGAAUACGAACGGGCCAAAAUCAUCCACCUCGUACGCAAUAAUCAGAUUGCAAUUGUAGCCUGUUUAUUAGAAAAUAAUAAAAUGACAAAGUGAGAUCUACAAAUAGAUUUUUUUUUUUUUUUUAUUAGAAGCUUCACCCACUAGAAAUAUUUUUUUAGUACUCUAUAGACUCAACUUAAAAAUUCUUUCAAACUCAAAGUGGUACUCAGUUUUCGCUUUAAUAUUAAAAGAUGUGCAAAACCUCCAUCAUAUUUAGUACUCUCUCAUUUUAGAAAAAAAUUUAUAAUAUGUCAGUCACAUAUUUUAUGUUGUGAUCCAAUCUAUCACAAUUGUCACAUAGAAUUCAUCCAUUCUAUUAUUAUUAGUAAAAAAAAUAUUUUUAUUAUAUUGUUUCUCAAAAUAAAGUUUUUAAUUGGGUGCAUAUUGCAGAUAGAGAUGUCAACGGAUCGGAUUCGGAGCGGAUUUUCAAAAAUCUGAACCCGAACCCGACUCCAAACCCGAGACCAGAACCCGAAUCUGAAUCCGAUGGAUUUUAAAAAUUCAUAUCCAAACCCGAACCCGACCAAAAAUCCGAAACUCGAACCCGCUCCCGAACCCGAAACAAUUAUUUCUUUUUUAAUAUUUCAAAAUAUAUUAUAUUAAAUCUAAAUUUUUAAAAUACAAAUUCAAAUAUAAUAUCAAAUAUAUAUAUAUAUAUAUAUANNNNNNNNNNNNNNNNNNNNNNNNUAUAUAUAUAUAUAUAUAUAUAGAAUUAGGCUGGAAUACUAUUAAUAGUAAAACGCUCUUUUUGCUAUCAAGUUUUUAACCCUUGGAUGAAAAAUUGUAGAGUCAGGAUGAUAUUAGUCGGUUAGAGUUGAGUGGUCCCUCUAGGGUUGAGUAGUCCCUACUGGGUUAUAGUAUUUAAUCCAAUGGUUAGAAAUAAUGAAAAGAGUUGAUCCAAAGGCUAAAAAACUGGUAGCAACAAUGGGAUUUUGCUACUAAUAGUAGCCCAGUUCAACUCUAUAUAUAUAUAUAUAUAUAUAUAUAAUACAAAAUAAAUUCGAAUUUGGGUCGGGUUCGGGUUCGGGUCAGGUACGGUCAAAAUCCAUAUCCAUCGAAUUUCUAUUUUUGAUAUCCAUAUCCGAAUCCAUAUCCAUUUAGUAUCGGAUAUAUCCGUUUCAUGCGGGUUCGAAUUCGAAUAAAAUUUCAGGCAUCCAUACCCAUUGACAUCCCUAAUUGCAGAUAUUGGGGAAUGGAUAAGUUUUUAGUGUGAAUCCGUAUCAGAUUUAUACGAUCGGUGUUAAUAAAUUGAGCAAUGAGUUAUUCUCAAAAAGGGAAAGGCAAGUUCUAACGAGAAUUUGCAACUAAUUUCUUUUGUUGCUUUAUUAGUACUUAAAGAGUAGAUGCUUCGCGCUGAUCAUUUUAAUAUAAGAAGUACCACAUAUAAAUUAAAAAAUUAAAUAGAAACCUUAUGCUAAGUUUUUUAUAUUAAAAAAUUAAAAAAAUUAGCUUUAUAAUAUUAGUAUUUUAAUGAAUAGAAUGUAAAUUUUAUAUUAUAUUUUUUAGAUAACAAAUGUAGAAAACUUACUUGAAUUGUGGAUCAUCCCAAAUCGACUAUCUAAGCUUUCAAAAUUUUAAAAUUUAUAACAAUUUAAUUUUAUUAUUUAAAUUAAUUUAUUUAUAAUUAAAUUUUAAUUAAAUUUAUAAUGAUAAACGAUGUAUUUAAUUUUUAAAUUAAAAAUUCAUCGACUGAUCCAAAUCAAAUAGGUAGUAAAUUUAAAGUUUUAAAAAGUAUAAGUAGUGUUACUUUUUUCGUACUAAUUCUCACCCCUAACCUAGAAUUUACUACUUAUAACGCUGCUAAAACUGUGCAUAUCAUGUAGCCACAUAGCGCACGAUCAUGGUAUCCCAAUCAAAAGUUUCAAUUUUUUAUUCCUCAAAUGGAUAAUUACGUGUGCAUUUGGUGCAUAGCAGAUUUUUGUGGAAUCCCAAUCAAAAGGUGCCAUUUUUUUAAAUUAUUAUUCUCCUGAAUGGUUAAUUGCGUUUUUGUUUCCAAAUUGCAAAUUAUGUAUUUAUUUUGGUGAAGUGAGCAAAGCGCAUUAGGACCACUGCACUAGAAUUUUUCGUACAUCUACACUGCAAGAUAUUGAUUUUUUUUUUUUGAAAAAAAAUGAAAGAAGAAGGAGAAGAAGAGAGGAAAAUUUUCCUUGGUGUUCUAGCUUUUGAAGGAUUGAAUUUAAUGACAGAUCGUUUCUAAGAAGGCAUGUUUGUUUGAACAUAAAUGAUUUUCAAACUAAAUAUAACUUUUAGUUGAAUUGAAGAUGCUAGUAAAUUUUUUUUUUCAACUUUUUUUCGUUUGAUUAAAAGGCAAUAACUCUGAAAAUCUGAUCUUUAUCCUACUUUUUUUAAUUUAAAAUUUUCACAUUAAUAAAUAAGAAAAUAAAAACAAAAAAUUAUAGCAAUUAAAAUUCUGUUCUGUUCUUUUUCCUCUCUCGUAAGUACGUAAUUAUUGUAUUUAAAAAAUAUAUAAUAUAAAGUUUGCAGAUAAAUUUAAUUUACGAUAAGUCAUAUAAUAAAUGUGAGCUUACGGAAACGUUACUUCACAAAAUUACUUCACCGUUCUACAUUUUCGGUAAAAUAAACCAUACCCUAAACAACAGAUUUAUUAUAGAAAAUUACAAUGACAAAUCUAAGCGGAACAAAUGUUCUGUAGCUCAACAACUCCAGAAACCAGGUAUAAGCCCACAUAGGCACUCAUAUGGAGCCUGGAUCAAACAGGCUCCCACGCAGUUACAUGGAAAACUUAAUUUGUGAUUCGAUUGAAGCGGGACCGGAAAAUUAACGUACAGUCCAAUGAGAGUCAUCUGAAGUUGGCUUGAUUAGGCCUAUCGCAAUCCUAAAAUAGUUUAUUCCGUCUAUCGCAAUCUACUCUAUCAUACUUACAGUAACAAGUCAAUAAUGUUUUUUUUUUAAAUAUAAUAAGAAUAUUUUUUAUUAACUAUUAUAGGACAGGUGAUAUAAGGAGAAUAAUUUUAUUGAUUAAGAAUGAUAUUUUAGUGAUAUAAGUUGAUGCAUUUUAGAUUUUUAUUUUUAUUUUCUAUUUUUUUUCAGACGUGAUGUUUCUGGUGCGACUAAAGAGGGCACAUGAAACUCUCACUACAUAAUGAAGCAGUUAAACAGGUACCGAUCAAAAUGCUUAACAAACAAGAGCAAGCGAAAUCAGCAUACUACGAUAGAGUUCAAUCUUACAUUACCAAAAGGUUUUUUAUUUUAAGGGGGAAAAAACACAAAUAAUAAUAAAAAAAAACAAUUACACUACCAUGCAAAAGUACCCAGAUUAACUUUUCAGUUACACUGACCGUCUCUAACGUAAAUAGCAAAAAGUUUGAUAGUUAGUAUCCGAGGUUCUAAAUUCGAACCUUUGUUAUUUUAUAUUUUCAGCUAAAUUUAUUUAUAGAUAAAAUUAACGAAAGAGGGUGCCACUAUCUCUUACAAAACACACUACACGUAUGGUGCAGAAACGCUCAGGCUAGCUACUGGAUGUAAGAUUGGCCGGUGAUAUCAAGAUCGCGGUCUCCGGUGGACGGCGGGGGCGCGUGCUUUGGCUCCGGGGGCAGCUCCUCGGGCCCGUCGGCGCUCUGCGUCUCGCUGGCCCUCGGCUUCGUCGUGUCCGCCGCUGCCGCUGCCGCUGCUGCGGGCUUGUCCUCCUCGGCAGCGUACAUCCCUCCGCCGUAUGCCUCACGCGUGGUCGGCUUCAUCUCGGAUAUCUGCGGCGGCUGAGGCUGACGUCGUCCCUCGUAAUAAUCCUCAGCUCCUCUACGAUCUGCUUUCGCUGUUUCCUUCUGCUGCUGCUGCUGCUGCAUUUCCUGCUACGUUUAAUUUGUGUCUGAUUAACUAUUUUGUGGCCGAGGUUCGUUCGAUCGGUAUUAUAGUGAUCUUGUGUUCGUGUCGGUGGUUUGUGGAUUUGUUGUGCUCGAGUAAGAGGAAUAGGAUGAGUUGACACGUGCGACACUGGGAAGGGAACGUGGACAGUAGGCGAUGUGCCUCGUGUUGCCUGUAAACAACUCUAACAAUAUAUAAUAAUAAUAAUAAUAAUAAUAAUAAUAAUAAUUUGACCAAAAAAUUGUCGACAUAUGAAUGGGCUAAGAUCAAUUGCGAGUCUAAUAUAGAGAUUGGGCCUGGUGUUUAUGCCUCGGGCUAAUUUAGAGACUGGGCCUGGCCCGACUUCAAGGAGUUAGGCAUAUUAACGACAUUGUGAUUUCAUUUUGUCUGUUUUUCACCUUAACUAUAUAUCUAUCAUUAAAUAGAAGUAAAUAAGAUAAUAAAGUAGUAAGUGUAGAGCUACUGUAAUUUUGAAAGUAUAAAGAAAUUCACGCUUUUAACUUUUUAAUCCUUAGAUUAAGAAUUGUACGGUUAGAAUGAUAAUAGUUCUUCUAGAAUUUAGUAUAUCACCUAGGGAAAUAAUAUUACUCCCAAGGAUUAGAAAUAAUCAAAGAGGUUGAUUCAAGGGUUAAAAAUCUGAAAGCACCAAUAUCUUUAUACUUCUGGAAGCACCAUAGUCGGACUUAAGUAAUAAUACAUUUUGAAAAUCACAGAAUGAUACAUUAUAGCAUUUCAGCUUCUUAUAAUCUAGUUAAGUGUAACUUUUUGAACUGAAUCUCAGAGUAACAAAGUGAAAAUGCGCAAAAUUAUAACAAGGCAAGUUAAAAGUUUAUUUUUUGUAAAAAAAAAGGGAAACAAUUGAAUACUUAUGAAAUGAAUGAAAUUUGUGUGAAGGACACAAUAUACCUAAUCCAAUAGCUGGUACAUAGAGAGACACAAAGUAUCUAAUCCAGCUAAGCUCGCGACACACAUUGUCCUAAUUAGUAACUUGGCUGAUGAUGCCAGAUUCUGUAGGAUUGUCACCAAACAGGUCUACUGAUUUUCUCUGUUUCUCUGCAGAACUUUUUUAGGUUUCAUCGCAAAUAAUUUGUUCUUGUCUCUCUAACUACCAAGAAAUAAUACAAUUUGAAAGCAUGUCACAUUUGGAAACAGACCACGAUGAUCAUUCCUUUUCCUUAUCACAGAAGAUGUUAAUAAAUAUUAUCAUCAAUCCAGGUGUUAACUCUGAUGACUAUUCAGGAGACAAGUUGUUGUAAUUUAUGUAUUUAAUGUCUUCUAGUGCAUAACUAUGUCCAUAGAGCUGCGACGAAGAUCACCAAACAAAGUGCCACAUAAUUAGGAAGCCAACAAUUUAAGCUAAAACACAAAUGUGGUUUCUGUUCGUAGAACUUAUCGCAUAAAAUCCUAUUCUGUCGUAUUAGCGUUUUUUGUUUAAAAUUUAUUUUAUGUUACAGUAAGAAUCUUAAGUGCUUUUCUUUGUUCCCUCAACAGGGCAAUUCACCAAGGUACAUUGAACACAAGUAACAUGACCACAACAUAUUUUUAUCGCCGGUGUUGCAUUGCUAGUAAAUGCUGGAGCAAGCUGAAAUAAACUAUAAAUCAAAAUGAUCUGAGAGAUUGAUUAUAAAAGUAUUAUAUGCAUGCAAGUACAUUAUGUAUGAAUUAGACAUCAAAAGUUGAAUUUGGAACUUGCUGGACAUCUGCCAGAAAGCUCAUUCUCUUACUGUUUCCUCAUUACUUCAGUUGCAGAUAAGCUGCAUUUUCAUGUUCUUCAUGUUGUUUGCUGUUAAGUAUAAAAUAUUUAAACACCGUUGUCUACUAGUUUAAGCUUUUAGAGAAUAACGAUUGUUUUGUACUAUUUAACAUUUGCCCCUUUUUCUGUAACAUGCAGAAUGUGUCAGCCCGAUAUUUGCUUUCGGCUCAACAGAAAAAGACGCAGAAUCAAUGCCAUCUUACGAUGGCAUUGCUUUAAGAAUUGACUUUUCGAGUUCUUCAUAGGGAAAUUUCAUUGCCAAUUGCUUCUAAGAUUUAUCCUCAACAACUAGAUCAUUUUGUAGCAUCAUUCAUGCAACCAGCUAGAGUAAACAAAUACAAUAUGCAUAACUCUCCAUGAUUUUUCAAACAAAAAUCUCAAAUCAUUUACUACUUGUUGUAGUCUUGCAGGAAUCAUUAAUCCUUUGCUUUAUGUUUUCUAAUUUCUUUAUUGGACAAAUACCUGGCUAAAUCUGAACAUCAUAAGCCAUAGGAGUAAAACGAAAAGGCAUUCUUAUGAGUCUUGAGUUUGACAAUGGCAUCUGAAUUUACGCGUUGAAAGAACAAUCUGGAAAUACACAUCUCACAAAAAUAAAGAGGAAAAACAUUAAUAGAGUGAUAUCUGAAGUUCAUUAGAAGUACACAACAUAUGUUACAUUUUGCGAAAACUCAUCAGCGCUCCUUUAAAAUGCGGAUGCCAAUGGUUGAUGCCCAAGGCACACAAAGGCUGAUGAGAUUCCUAGAGGCUGAGUAUGUUAAGAAGUGAAACUCUAGUUUGAACUAGUUGCCUAAACAAGCACCCUAAUCCAUCCUCCAGAGAUUCAACGCUCGACUCUAGAGUUUUCAACUGAUUUUGCACCUUCGAAACCUUUUCGCCAUUGACAUCAUUCUGUAGAAUGAUCUCAUAGGAAGUGCCGAGAGUAAAGUUCUCGUUCUCGUUCGCUACUUUAUUUUCACGAACAUCCUCACAUGCCACUUUCCUCCUAAGCAGGACCCUGGAAACUAAAGACCACCUUGCCGCCUUCUGUCUCGGCCUCGGCUUGGAAACAAGAGACAAGAUUGAACCGAGAAGACAACUCGUGAUCUCUCUUGAUUCUAGCAAUGCCUCGAUCACAAAGAAUGCGUCGCUCUCCUCACUGAGGAGUUGAUUCAUCACCCUCGCAGCUUUGUAACGCUUCUUGAUAUGCUUCAUUUGCUCCCUUCUAGUGCUAAUGUAUGAAUUUAGCAUAGAGUGGAUUGUUUUAUCCCCUCUUCGCAGAGCUGAUUGAAGUUCUUGGACAUGAUCCUUCAUUGUGGCCAACAUAUCUUUCAUCGCGCCGCAUAAGUCAAGCGACAUAACAGACCCUAAUUCUAGUUCCUCACCGAGCCAUUUCUUUUGGUUGGGUUGCAAGAGGCCUUGUCGGAGUCUCGGCAACUGAAGAAGAUCCUCUACACAAUUGUGCAGGUCUCCAAGGUUUCUCAAACCAUGGCAGAUUGCAUCGACAGUUGCAGAAGAAGACGACGCCUCGAAAUUUCGCAUCUUCAUCAGUGCUUCUUCGACCCUGGCUACCGCGGGAUGCGAUCUGGAUGGCAAACUAAUGGAUCUAACAUGCAAAUGUUGCUCCAUUAGCGCGUAGGUUGUAGAUAAAAAGGGAAGCUGAGUGUGGCUUGAUCCUCAAGGUCUCUCCUACUUAUAUAUACCAACAGCAUCUGUUGCGCCAAUAAUUGCCCAUGUGGCGUGGAUGUGGGUCUUGCUUUUGUAUUGGAAACUCUUGUAGGCAUUCUAUCAAACAGGUCCUACGCAUUACCAUUCUUAAUGCCAGAGAAUCAAAUGUAGGUCAUGUCAGGGUGUUUUUUUUUUUUUUUUUGGUUGAAGUUCUUGUAGGCCUUCUACCGAACAAGUCAUGUACAUAACCCAUCCUCUCAAAUUCAGGAUAUGACUCUACGAGCCUUAUCUAGCAUCAGUCACGGUGCAUGCUAUAAAUGGGGUAGCUGAUAUUUAAGUAAGUUCCACAUGUCUCCCCAUUGUCUCCAUCUACCAACAAUGGAAUAUGGUGGAGAUGGGAACAUUGAACACAACGUUUUGUGUGACAAAAUCGUACUCGUGGCUCUGUGUAUUGUCCUUAAAGUAAAAUUUGAUCUUUUUAAUUAAAGGAACUGUUCAUGAAAUUGCAACCCCCGAUAUCCGUACUCAUGGGUCAAAUUGGUUGAGUGCAACAAACAAACUUCAGACCAUUCCAACUGCGCCGAGGAAUGUAAACGGGGCGGAUCCGGGGACUGGAAGGAUCUUUCACUUUCUGCUCAAUUUUUUGUCGGGUUAAGAGUGGAUUCCGGAUUAAUUAAUUUUAAUAUUAUUUUAUCUUUUUACUUAUCACUUCAUUUGGGGCGAAUUAGAAUGGAAGAAAGUUUUUGACGAAUUUUGAGUAGAUCGGAACAGAUCAAAGAAAGAAAGGAGUCUCCAGUUUCCCACUCCAUUUAUUUGGUGGAUUAGGACGAAUUCAAGACUAAUUAUAUUUUUUAAUAAUUUUUGUUCCUACUUAUCGUUCCAUUUAGGGCUGAUCGGGACAGAAGCUCCACCAACCUAAAUCCAUUAGUAUUCCUAAUGAUUGAUGUCUCAUUGGAGAGUUCCGAUCUGCAUUAUGUGAUAGUUUUCGCUCUAUCCAAAAGUUAUAAGAUGAAAAAUAUUCUUUUUGAAUUUUAGUAUUAGAAAACAACCAAAGAAUCAGUGAAUGGAAACAAAAUUAACAUGUAACAAUAGAUUGAGAGGUUCCCACUAAAGUGGUUUUUUUUUUUUUUUCGAUCUAAGGUCUAUUCCUAGCCUCAGGUACCUGGUGAAUCUGUAAAGAUGACUUGAUAAGGCAACAUUUCAAAAUGUCUCCAUUUUAUAAACCAAAAAAGAAAAUAAAAAACAAGCGUAUUCUUGAAAUAUAUGAAUGAAAUAAUCAUAGAUUAACUAGGAUUUUAGUGUACUAUGUCAUCAUCUUUCUAAGAGAAGAGUUUGACUAAUCUAGUCUUAAUUUAGCUGAAUAUUCCAAAUUUCUUAGAAAGAAAAUUAACCCAUAGAAAAGUACAUAAAUAGAAUUAGUACGAGCGCAACAAUUAAUUAAGACUUUAAGCGUUACAGCCACAACUGAAAAUCAAGAAAAAUAAGACAUGAAUGUGAGAACAUAUUUUCUAAACUUUUGUUUUCUAAAAAAAACUUACGUUCAUUGACAUUAAUACACCAUAUGUUACAUCUCAAAUACGGAAAGUAAACUCCGCAAAAAUUCAACACCUCUCAUUUAGAAUGCAGAUGCUAAUGAUGGGGUCUCAAGGCACGUGAAAAUAGAUUACUAAGCUAGAGGCUUAAGAUGUUGAGAAUUGAGACUCUACUUUGCACUAGUCGUCUAAAGAAGCACUCUAGUUCACUCUCUAGAGAUUCAAUUUUUGCCUCUACAUUUCUCAGUUGAUUUUGUGCCUUCAUAACCUUGUCACCACUAGCAUCUUUAUUUAAUAAGAUCUCAUGUGAAGUACCAAGAUAUAGAUCCUCAUCUACAUCCUCAUUAGUACUACCACAAGCCACUUUUCGCUUACGCAUCAUCUUCGACACAAAUGUCCACUUGCUCUCCUUCUGCCUCAGCCUUGGCUUGAACAUGAGCGACAAGAUCGAGCCGAGCAGAGCAAUCGCAGCCUCGCUUGAUUGUUUCAUUGCUUUGACGACCAUCGAUAUGUUGUCGUCCCCGCCAAGAAGAUGUGAUCCGCAUUUGCUAUGCAUCUCCCUCGCAGCUUUGGAGCUCUUCGCGAUAUGCUUCAUCUCCUUUUCUCUUCUCGAGCUAAUGCAAGUGCGUAGCUUACAUUCGAUGGUUCUGUCGCCCCUUCUUCGAAGAGCCGAUUGUAGGUCUUGGACAUGCUCCUUUGUCGAAACCACCGCAUCUUUUACGGCACCGCAGAGGUCGAGCAACACAAUGGAGACCUCUAGUUCCUCCUCCAACCAUUUGUUUUGGUCGGGUCGCAAGAGGGCUUGUCGGAGACUCGGCAAGCGAAGAAGCUCCUCAACACAAUCAUGGAGAUGUCCAAGGCUUCUCAAACCGCCACUAAUCUCAUCUAGUGUUGUAGAUGAUGCUUGUAAAACUAAAUGACUUGUCCUUUGAAGUGCUUCUUCGACUUUAACUAAAAUAGGACGAGUUCUCGAGGGCAAGCUAAUCGACCGAACAUGGAAAGAUUGAUCCAUAGCUGCAGCAACAACUUUGAGCAAUGAGGAGUACUAGUGUCGAUCGGAGUUCGGAGCAAAAGAUGAACUUGGUCUGAUCCUUGAGUUCACUCCUACUUAUAUAGACCGAGAACGUACACCCGUGUACACGAUCGAUGAUACAAUUGACACUAGGAAUCUAUUGCCAGAUAAGUCAGCAUGUGCCAUUGAUGCAGGUCUCGGUUUCGAUUCAAUUUUCUUGUAGGCCUUCUGUCACACAAGUUCUGGUCACCAUCCUUUCUUUGUUGUACCAAAGUGGUCUCAGAAGAUGCAUUUAGAGCAUAAUAAAUGUGAAAUGUGCUCAUCAAGAACAUUAUUUUCAUGCAUGCAUGUCUCCCCAAUCUACCAACUCUUCAACAUAAACAAUUGCCUGCCAUGGAUAUGGAUUCAAAACAUUUUAGCUUGCUAACCACCUGACAAAGAGACACAAAUUAAUUAAAAUAAAUGAAUAACCAUACUGCACAUAUGACUAGAAAUUAAUAACCCUUACAGAUAUUUCAUGAAUCACGGUAAAAUUUGAUGAUCCUUCUAGAUAGAAGUUAUUUCAGAAGCCUAGUCAUCGGUCACUUCUAGCGCAAAUGACAAAAUAUUUUAUAGUUGAUAUGUGAGGGUCCAAAUUCAAAGCCUUUACAUGUUCAUAUAUACCAUCUAAGCUCAAGAUGUUUUAAAUUGUUCAUUAAUUUAAUUUUUAGAAUUCACUACAGAGAAUACUAAUGUACAUUUCUUAGCACAGUUAAGGAGAAGAGCCAUAGUUUGUAGUGUUCCCUAACCCAUGGUAAGGUUAUGCAUGAACCUAUAGAUUAUUAUAUGUUAUGCUAGCUCUAUUACUAAUUAAACUCUUGGUUAAGAUUAGGCAGUAGCUUUUUUGAGAUGAAGGUAGCAUGCUACCCGUUUCAUAUAUUUCAUUUAGAAAUAAACUUCGCUGGAAAUGUGAAUCAACUAGCAUUCGAAUUUGGGUCUUGGGUACCAACCACCAAGCCCUUUUGCCACUUGCGCUAGGGAUGGUCGGUAAGAUUAGGCAGAUGUUACGGAUGUUUGGGGACAUUACUAAAGCAAAAUAAGUUAUUAUUAUAUUAUCUCAUUUCAACAUCCAAAAAUAUAUUAUAGUUUGAAAAUAUUGAUUGUCCCUAAUACAAGUGGCAAAGGAUUUAGUGGUUGGUAUCUGAGGUCUGAAGUUCGAAUCCUAAUUUAAUUUACAUUUUAAGCGGGUAGCAUAUUACCUUUCUCUCUAAAAAAAAAUUAAUUUUUUUUUCUUUUUUGAGGGAAAGAUAAUAUGUUAUGUCUUGUUCAUUUAUUUUUAGAGAUAAAUUUAGCGAAUGCUAAAAAUAUUAAUUAAAUUUCGCACUUAAGACUCGGGUUUAUCAAUCAUUAAAUUCUUUACCACUUAUGUUAGGGACAAUCGGUGACCAAUAUAUUAUUUUUAUCUCAUAUUUUUUUUUGCUUUCUUUAUGUUAUUAUUAUCAUACAUAUUUAUUCACCCUUAAACGCCACUUAAACUUUAAAAUUGAAUAGCGUUGGUGGGGUCAAAAAAAAAAAGAAAAAAAAAANAAAAAAAGAAGCCUACAAACCGAAUUGUCAUUAAUAAAUUUACGGGCAAAGUUGGAGCACGGCUGGUCUUAUCUUAUCCGCACGAUCAUUGCAGUAAAAGUUACCAACGUGAUCAUCCCUUACACUGUACGUGAUGUUAAGCACCACCACAGCGUCCGUGACCUUUAUUUGUCCCAGCGCCGGGCUCUCCUGUUCCCUAGGCUAAAACUACCAUUCUCCUCGAGCACGUAUAUGUAUAUAUAUAUAUAUAUAUAUACACACACACACACACACACACACACACACACACACAUACAUAUAUAAAUACACAUGCAUCCUUAUAAAUCAAUCAAAUAAACCUGUUUCGCUUCCUCAACGAAGCGCCCCUCUUCAAUAUGCCAUGCUCUCUCUUUGUUUCUGCGGUCCCGAAUUUGGUGGUUCUCGGUUUUCUAUUCCUGAACUGGUUUUUCGUAGAUCUCACGCUGCUGCAGCAUAAGCCUUCUCGUGGUAAUCAAUCAAAUUCUUUUACCUGAUUACUUCUAUAUAAUCUGUGCAUGUAAGUGUUUUUCUCUGCAUGCAUGCAUGUCAACUUGAGCAUGCAUAUAUGGAGGCCCUAGAUGGUCGCUAAUAGGUGAAAGUAGUGUUCCGGCCGUUCGAUGAAAGGCAGGGUCGAUCUCGACCGUUGGUCAUUCAAACUGAGUUUUAUUGUUCAUUUCGUUAAUAAAUUUAGCAGUGGAGAAUGAUCCUUUCCCAUCUUUAUGCGGACGUCGUUUUAUUAAAGGGGGUGUGUGGUUCUCCAAGAACAUUUCCAAAAAAUAGCUACGGACUAAAGUUUUAUUUCAGGAAAAGUAGUUUUUUUAGAUUGUAUGAAAAUUUUUUUAUUUAUUUUCCAAUCUUUUUUUCUGAAAAAAACUAUAGAAAAUAUUUUCCCAAAAUAUAGUUUAUCACGAUUUUCUUAGAAAUGGAACAACCUCGUAAUAGUUUUACUUUUAAAUCUGCGGAGUGUAGAUUUGGGUCCAAAUCGACCCAUUAUUUGCUAUGGCCUAAAAAACCUGAGACCCCUGAGAAAAUCCAAAGUUUAACGGGCCAGUCGAGCCCACCCAGUUUUUCUCUUUUUUUUUUUUAAGUGCAUAGGCUUAUUAAUGCUAAAGUGACAACAUUAAUUAUACAUUUAUACUACGAAGAUAUACUUAGAUUACACAAGAUGCAAUGCCAUCCUAGAUAACACAGACACUUCUACAUUGUUGGUGUGCGGGAGUGGCGUCGAUGUCGAGCGCAAUUCCCAAAUGGAUACUUCAUGGAUGUGCCCAUUCCCUGUCCUGUAUCCUCUUACUCGUUCUUCACGCAUUCAUCAUGUCUCUGUUUUAUAUCCCUCGCGAUCAUGCUUAUCCAGUGCGAAUUCAAAGUACGUAAAUUGUAUUUUUCACUACAUGCAAGCUAUAUAAGAGAACAUAAGACAUUAAUUUUUCUACUUCUUGUACAGUGUGUUAAGUGAUAUUUGGAGUAAAUAUUAACUUCUUUAUAGUGUAUUGCUAAUUCUUUAAGUUAAAAGUAUACUGAUCUUGCAUUCUAAGUUAAUACAAGUGCUUUCUAGUUUUAUAUAUCUACUAACGCAGAAGAAUCUAUUGCUCUUUACAAGUAAGAAAACAAUAGUGAGAAUGUUAUUACUGUGCAAAAUUAAUAAGACUAUACUCUUCUCCCAAAAAUUACGGUAUUUACGAGUCGUGUUUCCAUAUCCUAUUUUUAAAAAAAAUUUGAGUUUUCAUGUCCAAGUUGUGUCGUCUCCAGUAUCCCAUGUUCAUAUAACUUAGUAAGAUGAGCCCAAACUCUGCAUAAUGUUAUAUUCAUUAAUUAAUUAACUAUUUUCCUUUUUCACAUGUAUCAGUUCCAGCUAUUGCUAGUGUAGUUACUGAGGAAAACACAACACAAUUCAAUGUUCUUGACUUUGGAGCAGUCGGCGACGGCAUAACAGAUGAUUCCCAGGUAAUUUUAUAUGCGUCGCAUGUACGAUUACAAAUAAUUUUGAUAGUUCCUUAGAGAGGGAUUUUACUUUUAAUUAAAAAAAAACUGUUAUGGGUUCUCGAUUAGCCGAAUUUUGAAGCUCUUCAAUAGCUACACUGCGACGUUAAUUACAGGCUUAUAUAUCUUGAUUGAUGAUUUUGUAGUGAUUUUUAUGAAUAUAUAGAAGCGCAUAUGACUCAAAUUGCUUCUCUAAGUUCAGCUUCAUAUUCAUAUAUAGAGCAGGCUUUCUUAAGUGCAUGGAAUGCAACUUGUGGGACAACCACAGGCCUUUCAACAUUCAUCGUUCCGAGUGACAAAAUAUUUCUUCUUAAACCCCUAACAUUCAAGGGCCCAUGCAAUUCCAGCUACGUCGACGUCCAGGUUCGUAAUCAUAACAUCAAAAACUACUCAUCAGUUUUCGCUUAUUCAGUAAUGCUCUUUGUACAGUAAUUUCUAAUUGUUACUUUUUGACUCCUUAUGUUCUAAAAGAUUGCUGGGACUCUUAUACCACCUGACACUCCAAGCACAUGGAAGGGCAUAGAUGCCUCUCUGUGGCUUCAGUUUGCUUCUGUGGAUGGACUCACUUUGAGUGGUUCAGGUCGCUUAAAUGGCCGCGGAUAUAAUUGGUGGCAGCAAUCUUGCAGAAUAAAUCAUACAGAGGUGCUUAUGCAGAAUUAGUACUACUAUCCAAAUCAGGAUGUUAGUAAAUGCCAUAGUGAUAAUUAUACUUUUUUUGUUUAUGUUUAUGUUUAUGUUUAUUUCAUUUCAAUGCAGGGGUGCACCAAAUUAGCUCCGACGGUUAGUAUCGCCUCCAAAUAGUAUAAAAUCCUCUUAAUGCAUCUUUUGUUUUUAUGAUCUUGAGGAUCUACUAAUUAUGUCAGGCUAUAAGAUUCGUCAGGUGUACAGACGUGGUCGUCAGCAAUCUAAAUCUCGCAGAUAGUCCGCAGACGCAUGUGUUGAUUCAUGGCAGCCGAAGAGUUACCGUGACAAACCUCAAGAUUACAGCCCCAGCUCACAGUCCAAACACGGACGGCAUUCACAUCCAAUCCUCUCAGCAUGUCGCGAUUCAGAACACAAUUAUAGGGACAGGUAAUUCACUAUGAAAGUAAUUCAAAACGAAAGCAAAAAAAAAAAGGAAAAGAAAAAUAUACAACACCUCUUUUCCGAUUUGUCUUGCUAUGGACCUCAGGUGAUGAUUGUAUAUCCGUCGGAGAUAACACUUACAAUAUUGUGAUCCAAGGGAUUGCGUGCGGGCCAGGCCAUGGUAUAAGGUUGGUGUCUCUUAGAUUACGAUCAUUUCUCUCUUUUUUUGAGCGAAAUAACUCCCAUUUUUGUCACUACAAAACAAAGAUCAUGUUGCUACAUUUGUUCAAAUGCAGUGUUAAUUCUAAAUGAAGUGUAUGCGUUAUGUUUAAUUACAUUAAUCUACACGCCAAAAAAUAAUCAUGUUCAAUCAAGCUAAGAGACUAGGCGUGAGAUGUAUGAUUUUUUCCCUUUUCCCUGAUGUUUCUUUACAGUGUUGGGAGCUUAGGAAGGGGAGGGUCUAAUGUUUCCGUUGAAGAAAUUCACGUUUCCUUCGCCAAGUUAUUCAACACGACAAAUGGUGUAAGGAUCAAAACAUGGCAGGUAAUCCUUUAAGUAACUAAUGUGCCAGUCGAUUAACGGUACACGCUUAUUUUAAUUUAUAACAGAGUGAUGAAAAGUACGAGGAGUAUUUAUCCGCUAUAAUUUGUGUAGGGAGGAACUGGAUACGCAAAGUCUAUAUCAUUUGAUCGUAUUAACUUCAACAAUGUGCAGAACCCGAUCAUCAUCGAUCAAUAUUACUGCGAUGUUCGCCACAGAUGCGCUAACCAGGUACAUUACUUUUUAUUGAUCAUAUGAUGAACACUAAUUUAGAAUUAAAACGUUUACCUAUUCUAAAAGAAGGGAAACUUUGCUGCAAAUGUAGCUUAACUCAUUGUGUUAUAUGAAGACCAAUGCAGUGCAAAUAAGCAAUGUAACAUACUCAUACCUCUCCGGGACUUCGAAGACCGAUGUUGCGAUAAGCCUCAACUGCAGUCAAAGCGUCGCCUGCACCGGAAUGCACUUCAAGAAUGUAAACAUUACCGCGGCGUCAUCGGGAAGAGAUGUGCAGUCCUUCUGCAUUAAUGCUCAUGGAGACAGCAAAGGAGAUGUCCACCCAGAUAUGGCAUGUCUCAGCAUGUGAAAUAUUAUCAAUGUAAAUAAUCCUCUUGUUAUCGGAUAUUUGAAUUUGCGACUCAUUCAUUUAUUUCAAAGUUAGCUCGUGGCUUACGUUCUCAGGCCUAGAUUGGUCAAAAUAUGAAUUUUUUGAGCCUUUCAAAAGAUGAAAAAAAAAAGAGGCUAAAAUACAAAAAACUUUCCUAUCAAAACCUAAUUUUUCACUUUCCCUCCUGUCAUUUAAAAAUCUACAAUUUGCCUUCUUGUAAAAUGAAAAAUAUUCACAGUGGGUACGGUGUAAACUGUGACGAUAAAAUGACUAUUUUGCCUCUCAUUAUUUUGCCCCCUCACCAUAUUUACAGAAGAGAAGACUGAAAAUAUUUUUGGCAUAAAAAAUAUAUAAUAAUAUUUUAUAAACGGAAUCCUAACGGAUUUACCCACACAAAGAGGCUUGAAUUUGUGACCUCAAAAUAGGUUAUCAGACAUCUUAUCACUAGAUUACCAACAGUUAAUCACUCAAAAGGCAGUUCUACUGGGAGGGGUUAUUGGAAAGAAAAUCCACCGCACGUGUAACACCUCCGAUUUUGCAAGUUACGCCCCCUCAUUUUUGCUGUAAAUGCGAACUAGGUUUUGAACUUAUAAUCUCCGGUAUCAAUCAUUAAGCGCUUAACCAACUGUAUUAAGUAUGGUGGGUCCGAUAUUUUGUAUAAAUAUAGCUUAUUAGAUUUAAUUUCGCAUAAAUUUUACACAACAUAUCUAUUGCAGAGGAGACUUUCUAGUAUUCGUGGUCGUGUGGUGGAUAGAGUGACAAAAGCUACGGGCCGGGCCAAAUAAGGCCCGGUCUGCCCUGUCCUGACCCAGUAUUAUUACUAUUUUUUCAAUUUUGUUACGAAGAAAAAUACUAAAGCUUAGUUUGGUAUUGUGGCCUAUCUAACGCUGUUAGAAAAAAUGGAGUUGAGAAAAAAAUAUAUAGAAAUAUGUUUCUGCGUUCUCCAGUAAAACCGCAGAAAAUAUAUCAUAACUGACUCGAUAUACGGAAAGCAAUAUUACGCACAGAAGCAAACAGAAUACUUUUCCAACUUACUUUCUCACCGUACAUAACGUAAUCUCUCCGCAAUCUCAAACGAAGUAUAAGAAUCUGUUUGGCAUUGCAACUCAUGUAACACUGAUAAAUAAAAUAAAGUUGAGACCCGUAGCAAAUCCAAUAUAACGGCAGUAGGAUUUAAUGAUCCCACUGUAUAUAAUUACAAGAAAGGCCUUACGAUCUUUUUAUAUUUUGUUCCCAUAAUGUUGACCCCAAAAUGGGGUCAACGAAUAAGACGUAGAAGCACCAUCCUCUUCGUCCGGUGAGUCAGGCAAGUGGGCCCCCUCCACACUUCCGUACAAAAGUGGACCCCACCUGCAAAAUUCCCGAACGGUGCCACGUCAUAGGCUCCCGACAAGUAAACAAUAACGGCGGUGGGGAGGGAACGGAAACUAUCGGCGCAGUUGAUUGAAGUCGUCGCGUCCUCCCCAUCCCCCGGAAGACUUCUUCCGCGCCUGGGUCGCUGCCGUUGACUCCAGUCCAGUCUGCGCUCCCCACUACGGAGGAAACUUGGCAGAAGGAGCAACACAAGCACAAGCAAUCUUUUUUAUUUGGAAUUAACUUCGUACGCGUUUCCUACCUACAUAGUAAAUAAUAAAUAUAUUUUUAUAAAUUUUAAUUUUUAUAUAUUAUUUUUAUAAAAAUUUUGAUAUUUUCGAAUAUAUUCCUGUCGUUAGAAUUUGUUAGAAAAAUUCAGUUAACCAUAAGUUAAAUAAUUAACAUGGUUAGUUUUUGACAUUUUUAUCUCUCCUAUUUGUGACGACAAAAUUGAAAAUAUAAACGGUUCUCUAAUGGUAAUAAAUCAAAAUGACAUAUUUAAAAAUAUAAAAAUUUUUACAGAAAUAAUAUAAAAAGGUUAAACUUUAUAGGAAUAUAUUUGUCAUUCACUAUAUUUGUAGAGAGAUAUAUAAAAUUAACCCUUUUAUUUUUUUAAUAAAAAAAUAGUAAAUAAAUAAAUAAGAAACCAGAAAAAGAGGACUUCAUUGAAAGCUGCUCAGCACUAUUGUGUCAAAAAGGAAUCGUGCAUUUUAUUUUUUCGACGAAACUGUAAAAAAUAAUAUUUAAUUUGACUUAUGAAAGUAAACAGAAAAUUUUUGGUCCCUGCAUAGAGCCUUUGGGUUAUUAAUUAGCUUAAUUUGUGUUUAGUGUUGCGUCACAGCCUUUGGGUUUUGAAGUGGAGCACUAACUUAGGGCUUUGCUCCAAUAGGGCUACGGUUUAUGAUAAAGUAGGGCGGAUCAAAUUGUAUUUAGGAUAUCAAAUCAUCUCCAAGUCAUCACAUGAGACAUUUUAUCUUUGAAUUUUGGGAUGCCAUUACAUAAGAUUGGAAGAAAUGCCAGAGGGAGGUGUCAUUAAUUAAUGGACGAUUCAGAUAAAAUUCUGUUUCUAAUUUCAAUCUUAAAUGCCAAUAUUACGGAAAUGUACUUGAACCUAAGCGAGGCUGAUUUAGUUGAAUGUUAACCAAUGAUUAAAGUGCCGUGGUAUGGAAUUGUAUCGAAAAUUUAUCGAUACGGUACAUACGGUGCAUGCCAGACUGUACUUAUACGUGUCAGUCAUAAAAAAAUAUAUAUAUAUAUACCGAUAUAUAAUUGCAUAAAACUAAUUGCUUAUUAUAUAUAUAUUUUUAUCAAGUCUUUUGAACUUUGUUGAGAAAAUUAUUUAUUAAUUUUUAGAAAAAGAGAGUUUUGAAUUAUUUCAUCUAUAUGAGAAUUAUAUCGUGUCGAUACGUUGAUACAGCUUGCACCGAUGGACACUGAAAUUCUUGAUGUCGACUCAAUGAAAGUUUUUCUCAUUUUUCCGUAAAGCCUUUAGGGUGUAAGAGUAAAAUAUUUACCGGAAGAAAAGAAUGAAUAAAUUGAACAUAGUAUCAAAGUGCUAUUGUUUUUCACAACAGCUGUCAGAGAGCAAUGUUUUAGUUAUUUGUUUGGCACAUUUCACAACAAUAAAAGAAAAUUAAACGUGUUCUUUCAUUGAUUAAGACAUUUUGGGAUACAAUAUUCCAAAAGGCUAUCACCUGCUAUUCUUCACCCAAUAAAAAAAAAAAAAAGAAAAAAAAAAUCAAGCGCUUUACCACAAAUUAAUAUCAAUAUUUCAAUUUACUUUAUUAAAUUGAAAACGAAAAAUCUACACAUCUAUAUUUUGUUGAUUGGCAUUGUGUUUACACCAAAGAAGAUGGCAUAAUUUUCGUGGUUUGUUAAAUAAUAGUCAAAAAAAAUUGUCUUAUGUAAUAAUGUAAUUAGCCAUCAAACUAGAAGCUACGUAUAACUAACUUUUAGACUUCAUAUCAAAAUUGUGCACUCAAUGACCCUUGACUUGUUAUAUUUGAUGAUGCUAAUUUCUAACUUUUACUUGGUCCAAAAUAUAUUUCCCAGGACCACUCCUAGGCAGUGCUUGGUUCCAAAAUAAGGGCGGAAUAAGUCGUUGUUCCCUUUUUUGUUUCCAGACGUCGUGUUUGGUACUCGAGAACAGUAGUUCUCGGGUUCUGAAAUAAGCUGGUAUAAUAUUAAAACUGAUGUUCGAGUAGGACUACUAUAUUAUUAUGAGUAUUGGCCUUUCGUACUCAUAAGUUGUUUUCGAUGAUGGUGCUUCCGAAUCGACGAUCCACUCCGUUAAAUAUAAUCUAGAGUAUUUGAAACUUCUAGAAAAUAAAUUUCGUAAUUUUUUGAAAUCAUAAUAAAGUCCAUCACGCGGGCAUAAAAUGAACGGUCAAAAUCGGACGAUGUCUUAAAAAUAGAUGAUCAGAUCUUUCAAUUUAAGAUUGGAGUUAUUGAUCUUUAUCUAGAUAGUGAAUAGAAUUUUCUAUCAAAAAUUCAACAUAUUCGGAUUCUUUUGCACCGUUAAACUAGCAAGUAUUCCAUACCGGCCGUUAAAAAUUGUCAAUUUUGUGAGCUUUUGAUCGUAAGGUAAAUGAUGUCGAAAAAUUAUAAAAUUUGAUUUCUAGAUGUUUCAAAUGCUCUAGAUAACGUUUAACGGUAUGGAUCGUCGAUUCGGAAGCUCUAUCAUCGAAAACAACUUAUUAGUAUGAGGGCGAUCGUACUGAUAAUAGUAUAGUAGCCGGACUCCCGAUGUUCUACCAAUUUUCCUAAAGUAAGUUUGUUGUAAGGUGAGAACAAGAUUAAUUAAAGUUUAAAUUUAAUUUUAAUUAUGGUAUUAAAUUAUUAAUUAAUCUAAUUAAUAUAUUUAAAUUAUUAUUUAUUGCUUAAAUAAUAAAAUAAUUUAUUUAUUUAUUAUUUAUAAUUAAUUAUUAAUAAUUGAAUAUAUGUAUCCAUAAACUUACUAAUAUUUAUAUUGAUCAACUAUUAAUAUUUCUAUUAAUUUUUUUUUACUAGUUAUCUAGCUAAAAUAAUUUACUAACUAAUUAAAAAGUCAAUUUUUUAUAAUUAAUUAAUUAAUUAGUAUAAUUUUAUUAUCUUAUAUAAUAUUUAUAGCUAAUAAAUUUAUUAAAUUAUUAAAUUAUUUUUAAGUAAUAUUUUAAUGUUAAUUAAUUAGAUAAAAUAAUUUUAAGUUAAAAUUAUAACUCUUAUUCCGAUUUAUCUUAUUCUUAGGAGCAAUCCAAUUUUAAUCCUCCGAAUAUAAAAUUGAUCUAAUUCCUGUUUAUAUAUGAAUUUGUAUCUAUUUCUGAAAUAAACGGUUCUUAUAUCCGAACAAAAUGCAGCCUUUAACUAUUAUCUGGAUUUUGUUUUUUUUUUUUUUUUGAGAAAAAGAUAGCACGCUACCCGUUUCAUUCAUUAAAAUGGUAAACUCAGCUACAGGGGUGAGGCAACAUGGCCUCGGGGUUAUCUGGAUUUUGUUAAAUGUG
rnacentral:lncRNA from 1 species